AUUGAACGCUGGCGGCAUGCCUAACACAUGCAAGUCGAACGGUAACAGGCCCUUCGGGGCGCUGACGAGUGGCGGACGGGUGAGUAAUGCUUAGGAAUCUGCCUAGUAGUGGGGGAUAACCCGGGGAACUCGGGCUAAUACCGCAUACGUCCUACGGGAGAAAGCGGGGGACCUUCGGGCCUCGCGCUAUUAGAUGAGCCUAAGUCCGAUUAGCUAGUUGGUAGGUAACGCCUACCAAGGCGACGANCGGUAGCUGGUCUGAGAGGACGACCAGCCACACUGGGACUGAGACACGGCCCAGACUCCUACGGGAGGCAGCAGUGGGGAAUAUUGGACAAUGGGCGCAAGCCUGAUCCAGCGAUGCCGCGUGUGUGAAGAAGGCCUGCGGGUUGU
rnacentral:rRNA from 1 species